rnacentral:lncRNA from 1 species
AGCCAUGUAGCAUAAUCUACUCUAUGAAUAAAGAUGACAUUUCAGCAUUACCAUUAGAAAAAAGAAAGCAAAAAGAGGUUCAAAACAAAAAUAUGGUUCCAAAACAUUUACAUGUGCUACUUGUGAUUCUCCAACUGUAUAAAUCAGGGUUCAGUUGACCAGUUUAGUUUACUUCUACAAUAACUCAUAAGCAUGGGAAGACAUGCUGUGCAUCCAAUAUCAUUCUUCAUCCCAGACAAUGAUUAAAGCCUCUCUCAAAAAACAUGUAAAAGUAAGUCUUUAGGCUGUUUUCUAGUAUCAAUAUAAACUUAGAAAGAUGGACGUGAAAAAAAUGUAAUGGAGCAUAAGGUUAUGGGGGCGUUGGCUGGAGGUACAGAGUGCUAAACCGCGUGAUAGAGUAUGAGAUAUGGAGGUGUCUGUACGCGUACCAUAACACACGAGACUUGUAAAUUGAGUUUAAAAUGAAAAGAAAUUUUAGUAUCAUUUUCAAUAGUUUACUUUUUCCUUCCUUUCUAAGUAAAAGAGUUACUUAAAGUUUGUUCAAACUUUGACCAAUAAAUAAAUGCUUACUUUAAAACUUGCUUAUUGUGAAUUUUCUAAGCUUAGCCAAACAUGCUCGAAGCUCUUACUUGAGGUUUUAACUAAGAUUGAUUUUUACUUGAUCUGUGUCAAUUUGGACCUUAUCCCAAAGAAUUAAGCUAUGAGUUAAGGUAUCUCCAUUUAUUAUUUAUUCUUCUUCUAGUUUCUUUGGAAGUAGUUGAAUUACCUUUCGAGAAAUUUUCUCAAACAACACCUUCAUGAGAAAGCAAACAACAAAUAAAGACCUAUCCAAUGGUUAGAACAAAAAUUCUAUCAGUUUCUCAAGAUAAAGGAAAUGAGAAUCCUCCAAGUAAUAAAGACUUGUUGACACAAGUUCAGUGUUGGACACAAAUUUGGAGUCAUAAUAUAUAUACAUACAAACAUAUCUGGGAAAAAAUAAUUUUUAAAUCUUGACUCCAGAAUUUCCAGUGCAACCUUAUCUAGUCUUGUUCGCAUCAACCAAGGUGGCUCAAAAUUGGUUGCAGAACCAUGAAGGUAACAUAUUUAUUUGCCUUAUAUGUCUUCCAUGGAAAAUGUAGCCCCUUAGAAGCAGAACCCUUCACUGGACUUGAAGCUUGGUUAGUAGGAUUCAUAAGCUACUAUCCAACUAAUCCUAGAGGAAAAUACAUGCCCAAGGUAUGAAAUUGCAAGGAGUCAGCUUGUGAUACAAUAAAAAAUAAAAUUUGGCCACUAACAAUAUCAUUGAGCUUUAAAAAAUGAAACGGUGAAAAUGGCCAACAGAAAUUCAGCAGCAAAAUCAAACCCCAAUCAGCCAUCAGACAUGCAACAUUUUAUCACCAGGCUACCAUUUGCUUAAACUUGUAAAUCUGCCAUUAUACAAAAGCUAUUUUUCAAUUAUAGGAUAUCACAUAGGCCAAAAAGAGGAGAAAGAAAUCCCAAGAGGAUUAUUGAUUCUCGACAGUGCUAUCCUGUUGUGAUUUUAUGACAGCUGGAGCUGUAGCUUUGUCGAAUGAUUGUGGGGACGUUUCAUUCAGGUGGUUAGUCUUUCCAGAUUCAAGCAGAUCACAUAUACAAAUAUGAAGAAUAUUUUAAAAGGAGCUGUCAAUUAAUGUGAGAAAAAGAUAAGAAUUAGGAUAUGCACAUAAAAUGGAUCAAAGCCCAUCAAUUUAAAAUAAAGAAGUUACUCGUCAAAUGACAAAGAAACCAUACCAAUUUUCCACAUACCGACCAAAUUUAAAUAGUAUGUAUAUGAAGAAAAAAUGUUUGAUAGUUGAAAUGGACAAAAAUGUAUCAGGGAUUCAUUGUAAAGAAACACUACUUAAUCUAAUGUCGAAAAUCUUCAGCCAAAAAAGACAGUCUAACAACAUAAUAUUUGUAACAGAAACAGUUUAGCAAUAAAAUUGACUCAAAACGCACAUUAUCAAUUUUCUUACUGAGCAUUUAUUCUGAAGUAUACAAAUCAUCCUGUACCAAUUUGAAAAGAAAAAUGCAUUGUAACGCUAAAAGUGCAGAUUGUUUAAUAUGCAUGUAUACAACCAUAGUACUUCAAAAUUUAGUGAAGGAAAAAGAAAGGAAGAGAAAUUUUUUGAAUCUAUUCAUAUUUGUUUGUCCACUACAUUAUGGAAAUCCAAGCUGAAAAUUCAAAGCAUUAAUCAUCUGAUAAAGAACCCAACUCAAUUAACUCAUAAUAAUCAACACUCACUUGGCGAUUAAGAGUUGUAGGAUCAUGUCUCGCCCAGAAAACAUCAGGCAGAGCCUCAUAACUACACUCUCUGGAAGUCCAAUUCAACUCCCCAAAAAUAACCCAUCCCGAAUUACGUGAACUACGUAAUCAUCAAGUCCCUGCCCUCUGGAAGAAUCUAAAGAGAAAUCCAUAGAAAAGUCAGUGGAAUUGCGCACAUAAAUCUGAACUUGUACAGCCAGCUCAUUCUUUGAGAGGCGAAAUUAAUGGAAGGAAAUCGAGGGUUUAGAAUGGAAGGGAGGAUAGAAAACGUGGUUAUGGCAGUGGGUGUAAGUAUUGUACAUCU